CCUACGGGCGGCAGCAGUGGGGAAUAUUGGACAAUGGGGGGAACCCUGAUCCAGCCAUGCCGCGUGUGUGAAGAAGGCCCUCGGGUUGUAAAGCACUUUCAGUGAGGAAGAACGCCUGGUGGUUAAUACCCAUCAGGAAAGACAUCACUCACAGAAGAAGCACCGGCUAACUCCGUGCCAGCAGCCGCGGUAAUACGGAGGGUGCGAGCGUUAAUCGGAAUUACUGGGCGUAAAGCGCGCGUAGGUGGCUUGAUAAGCCGGUUGUGAAAGCCCCGGGCUCAACCUGGGAACGGCAUCCGGAACUGGCAAGCUAGAGUGCAGGAGAGGAAGGUAGAAUUCGCGGUGUAGCGGUGAAAUGCGUAGAGAUCGGGAGGAAUACCGGUUGCGAAGGCGGCCUUCUGGACUGACACUGACAUUGAGGUGCGAAAGCGUGGGUAGCAAACAGGAUUAGAUACCCGAGUAGUC
rnacentral:rRNA from 1 species